AAGUUAACCACUUGACCACGGGGCCAGCCCCCCAUUUUUUCUCUCCUUAUGAGAAAAAUCACAUGAAAUUGAAAUUUCUGUGUUUCUUUUCUUCUUCUAAAUAACAAUUUGCUUUCAUUCCUUAUUUUGGAUUCAUAAUUUUUUGUUCUUUUUCUUUAAGAAAGCUCCCAAAAUACGGUUGUAUCAGGCCACAAAAAACCUAGAUUCAUGCCUGCCACAUACCUGAGUGACAUGAAACCAUUUGACAUAUGAAUUAAGUAAGAACAAUAGUGUCAAUUCAUAUAUUAAAUAGUCGUUAAACUUAAUUUUUCAAUUUUUUAAAUAAAAAAUAUAAAAGUAUGUGGUCUAAUAUGUUUCCAUAUCUCAGUGAUGAGAUUUGUAUGCUCCCCUUCAGAGACAAUGGGUCAAACCAACUAUUUUGCUAUGGUUGAAUAAGAAAGGCUUGCUGCACGCCUAGAAAAAUGGGGCAUCCCACCCUCCACUGCCUCUCCUUGAAUUGGUCACUCACACAUUUCAAGCACUGCACUUCUGUCACCAAGUUCUGUUAGACUGAACCAUAUAAAAUUGUAGUUUUUAUAGGUCAAAAAUGGUCUAACAUUGGAAAAUUCAUAGGUUCACCAUAGUAUAUCAUUUAGGAUGCAUUCAGCUGCAUGUAAAAGAAACAAGACUCAAAUUGACAUAAACAAUAAGGAAACAUAUUGUGAGGAUAUUGGUGAACUCACAAAAUUGACUAAAAGGCUUUAGAAGCAAGUUUGGAAAACAGGCAGAAACCAAAGAAGGCAAAGUAGAGGUUUGAGACCCAACUCUGUCAUUUUGACCCAACUGUGCCAUUUUGAGCAAGAGUUACUUAACCUCAAUGGGACCUGUUGAAAAAAAUGGGGAUAAUAAUAUCUACCUCAAAUGGAGCAUUAGGUUAAGGAUGAGAGGAAUGGAAAGGGGCCAACAAUUAUUGAGCAUAGAGUAAUGUGUGCCAGUCCCUGAGAUGAAUGCUUUAUAUGCAUCAACUCAAAUUAGAAAGUAUAUGUACAGUGUGGGGGAUGGGGGAGUUGGUAAUCCUUAGAAGCACAGAUAUCACUUUAGCAUUCUCUGGGAGGAUGUGUCAGUCACAACCUAGCAGGAAAGAGAUGGCACACUCAACGGGAAAAAUGGAGGAGAAUUUAAUGGAGUAACCAUUUAUGAGGGUGUGGGCAGAGUUAGGAGACACCAAUAAAGGAUGAUGAAGCACUGUAGGGCAAGCCUGGAGGGACAAAGGAGUAGUCAGCAACUAAAACUCAGGAAGAGACGUGUGAGAGCAGGUGCCCGACUCUGCUGUGGCCUGCCGUGGAGGCACAGUGCAGAGCACCCGGAAAACAAAGACCUGAUAUUACUCCUCUCUCGACCUUAGACCUCCUAGUAGGGCCUCCCAUCAGUUAAACCCAACUGGAAGUCAGAGGGAAAGAGGUACCAUUGAUAUGGUCCAAGAAGGUCACCCACUGGGGCAGAGAGCAGGGUGGAAAAGGGUGGAAAGUGGAUUCGCAGGGGCAGAGGAGAAUAUCUAGCACAGAAAGUGUAGAAAUGAGCAAAGUUACCUCGUAUAUAUGUUCUCUUGUGGGAUCAGAAAGAUUUAAUCCACCUGUUUGGAGACCAGGGACUUCAGAGAAAGGAUCUUUCUAGGCUGGGCUUACAUCAGAACCUGCCUUGUUCUAAAUUCUAGCUCAAGGGUGAUGAGAUUAGAGUGUGUUAGUCAACUCUGAUUAAGCCUUCCACAAGGCCAAUUCAGUGAUUAAAUUAACAGUGAGCACUUACACCAGUUUUUAAAAAUGUCUGCUCGUCACUCAAAGUCAAGAAGAAAUGUUGCAUCUCAAGAGCUAGGUAAGCUGUUAUGGAGCAUGGGUUCUGACUAGCAAGCUGCUGUAUCCCAAACUCCAUCUCAUUUUCAUGGAUCCUCCCCAAAUUAAGCUAAUCCUGCCACUCACCCCUUUUUCUGUAUGUGGUCUCUCUUCUUCAGUAAACAAUCCCGAUUACAUGGGGCCAGGAAUGGAACUACCUAGAUCAAGUUACAAACUCUGCACUAGCCUCCAACAGCAUUAAGAUGGGCCUUGGAAGCAAGCAGAGCUGAAGAAAAGAAGGACUGCUGGGAAGGCCCCGUUGCCUGAAGCUGUGAUGUCCCAGGAAUCAAGGGAGCAGGCCCAGCAUGGGGCCACAUGAGGAGCUGGAUCUGCAGACUGAGGUUAUAGGUCCUUCUAGUUCUGCUAUAUGGGACCCCACCUCAGCAUGGCCGGAUGACCAGAUGAGUGGUGCUAGGUCUGCACCCAGGAUCCGAACCAGCGAACCUCGGACGCCAAAGCAGAGCAUGCGAACUUAAGCACUCGGCCACAGGGCCAGCCCCUAAGCAUGAAGUUUAAAUGGAAUGUUUAACAAAUGGAUGGGUCUGCAUUUUGGAGGAGGUCAUUUAGAACAGGCUUUGAAUAGUUUUGACAGCAGCAAGUCCUUCACCUGAUGCUUUGUUUAAUUUAAGCCUUCUAACCAAAUGAGAUACAUGAGGAGAUAUUCCUGGGUACCAACUAGUGAAGACCUUGGAACUACAAAUGUCAAUGUAGUCUUAGGAUGAUACUGGCAGGAAGGAGGCCUCGCAGGUCAGCUGAGAUUUGUGCAUAUCUGUGCUUACCAUAAAUAAUUAUGUGCCCAGAUCCAUCUUCUUCAUUGGUUCUGGCAUCCCACAACGUUCAUGAAAGUGAAUUUUAGGCAAUAGGGUUACAUUUGAAGAGAUCCCGUCUGAUCUGUCCGCGUUCCUUUUGCACACCGCUGCACCAACCCAGGUAACGAUCAGUGGAGGGUUGACUGAGCUCCCAGGACUCCAACUCCACCAGCCUCCCAGGUGACGUCCUGAGACAGUGCUUCUCAGACCCUCCUCCUCAGGUUCGGUGGGCAUGCCCUCGAGGUAGGUAGGAAGACCAGGAACCUCUGUUCUUAGACCCCUGGAGUGGGUGUGGUAGAUGCUGUCCAUGUUUACCCAAUACUUCCUUGGAAAUAGAACCCCCUAAUGUUUUUUUUAAACUUUUACAGGGAUAAUAAGUGUACCCCAAAAGCACCAGUCCUAAAUGCGUAGCCUGAUGAAUUAUUGCAUAUGUAUCCCCUUGUGUCAUCACCACCCAGAUCAGGAUAAAGAAAACUUCCAGCACCUCACAAGAGUCCCUCUUGCUUCUUCCCAGUCUGCAUCCCAACCCAACGGGAGGUAAUCACUAUCCUCACUUCUGUUGUCAUUGACUAGUUUUGCCUGUUCUUAAACUUUGUAUAAGUGGAACCAUACAAUAUGCAUUCUUUUAAAUGUGGCUUCUUUCACUUAGCUUAAUACCUAUGAGAUUCAUCAUGUUGUUGCAUGUACCAGUAGUUUGUUUUUUUCUUUUCUUUUUAGCUCAUAGCUAUAUUCUUUCCCCACCCAGUUUUACUGAGAAAUAAUUGACAUUCAUCACUGUAUGUUGUUUCUAACUGCUUUGUAGUAUUCUAUUUUAUGCAUACACCACAAUUUAUCUAUUCUUCCAUUGAUGGGCAUUGAGUGGUUUCCAGUUUGGCUAACAUGAAUACAGCUGUGAUGAACAUUCUUAUGCACAUCCUUUGUGAACAUAUAUACCCAUUUCUCUUGGGUAAAUUCCUAGAACUGGAAUUGCUAUCACGGGGUCAGCUACAUUUAGCUUUAGCAGAAACUGCAAAUUUGCUUACAAAAUGGUUACACUAUUUAUAUUUCCAUCAGCAACGCAUAAGAAUCCCAGUUCAUCCACAUCCUUGUCAUCAUUUGCACUGUUGAUCCUCUUAAUUUUAGCCAUUCUGGUUGGUGUCUAGUGGUAUUUCAUUGUGGUUUUAACUUGCAUUUCCCUAAUGAGUAAUGACACUGAGCACAUUUUCAUAUGCUUAAUGGAUGUUUGGAUGUCUUAUUUUGUGAAAUGCCUGCUCAAGUCUUAUAUCCGCUUUUAGGUGAGUUCUUCAUUUUUUUCUUAUUGAUUUGUAGGAGUAAUUUACAUAUUCCUAACAUGUCUUUUGUCAGAAAUAUGUACUGUGAAUAACUUCUCCAUUGUGUGAUUUGUCUUUUUAUUCUCUUAAUGGUAUAUUCUAAUGAAAUAACUUUAAUGAAGUCCAACUUAUCAAGUUUUCAUAGCAGUGCUUUUUGAGUCCUGGUUAAAAAAUUUUUGCCUAUGCCAAUGUCAUGGUAUCAAUCAGGUUUCAGCUAGAGAAGCAGAACCACUGGGAUAUACAUAUUAAGAGAUUGUUGCAAGGAAUUGUCUUAUGUGAUUGUGGGGGCCUGCUAGGCAAGUUCAAAAUCUGUAGGGCAGGCUGUCAGGAAGGACAGGAUGGAACUUUUGGCAUGGGCUGAAGCUGCCAUCCACAGGUGGAAUUUCUUCUGCAUCAGGGAAGACACACUCUGCUCUUGAGGGCUUCCACUGAUUGAACCAGGCCCAUCCAGAUUACCUAGGGUAUGUACCUUACCUAAAGUCAACUUUAAUCACAUUCAAAAUACCUUCAUGUACCACCUAGAUUAGUGUCUGACUGAAUGACUGAGGCCUAUAGCCUAGUUAAGUUGACACAUCCAAAGAUCCGCAUAGUCAUAGGCAAAUGCUUCUGUUUUCUUCUAGAGAUUUUAUUGUUUUACCUUUUUCAUUUAGUUGUGUGAUCCAUCUUGUGAUAAUUUUUGUGCAUGGUAUAAAGCAGGGGCCAAAGCCAAGUGGGGUAUCGUUAUGGAGCAGCAAUGUGGUCAGAGAAGGUGGACUCUGGCCCCCGCCACAGGAAAUGAGUCACAGAUUGAUCCAAGCCAAUCGUGGUCAUGCUAUAUUCCUCUCAUUUGUUUAGCAAAUGUUUAUUAAGUACUUACUAUGUGCCAAAGGGAUUCUCAGUUCUGAGAAUACAGCAAUGACUAAUAACAGGUAAAGUCCCUGCUCUCAUGGAAUCUCCCUUUGCAAGUGAUUGGAUAGAGACUAAGUAUGAAACCCUGCUCUGAGCACUGGGACCUGAGGAAAGUAUGUUGUGGACCUCCAGGGAGGGUGUCUGUCCUUCACGAAAGGGAGACUUUCAGAGAAACCCCCUGCCUUGCAUGUGGGAGUUCACGAUAUUUGGUGCUGCUGCUGUCGAGCUCUGACCUGUAGGUUAAAACCCAGAGAAUGACAGAGAAGCCAGCCCAGAGCCCCGCCACCUUUGAGCUCCUUUGUUAGCCUAUCUCAAGGUUUCUUAUGUGACAGAAUUAAAUAUUCAUAUUGUUUAAGCCACA